rnacentral:rRNA from 1 species
UACGGGGGGAGCAAGCGUCGUUCGGAUUUACUGGGCGUAAAGGGCGCGUAGGCGGCCUACCGCAAGUCGACUGUGAAACUCUCCGGGCUUAACCCGGAAAGGUCAGCCGAUACUGCGGGACUAGAGGUGCAGGAAGGGGCAACUGGGAAUUCUACGGUGUAGCGGUGAAAUGCGUAGAUAUCGAGAGGAACACCUGCGGCGAAGGCGGGUGCUGGGCGUGACACUGACGCUGACACUGCGAAAGCUAGGGGAGCGAACGGG